UAGUAUGCUUGUGGUUGGAGUGAUUCGCAAAAGCGAUAACCUGAAAUCUUCUUUCUUUGUGUGUUGUGGCAACAGCCAGGGUGAUGUUGAGGAAGUCCUGCAGGUAAUACCCAGGCAUGGGGCGUGUGUGUGCUGUAGUUACCUGUAGUGUAAAUACUGCACUAAACUUGCAGCAAUUUUACGAGUAAGAAAGUCAAGAGACAGAAAAAUAUCAGGAGUGGUCAACCAUCAGCCCUGAAUGCAGCUGUGGACAGUCAGCGAGCUGGAGACUGAGGGUCGAUUGAUCUGCAUCCUGAACAUCUAGUGCUCUUGUGGUUUCCAGCACCUGGCAGAGAUGUGAGGAGAGGAGGAAAAAGCUGAGAAGAAAUGGGUAAGUGAACAGGAGCUGAGAAAAUGUUACUGAAGGUGGAGAAUGGGUCCCAUGGGUCUCUUGUACACCGAUCCACCUCAACACGGUCACUUGGACACUCCUGAAGCAUGUGCAGGUAACAAGAGUUCUUGAAAGCUGAUGAUUUUGGAAAAAGAAGGGCUUGAGAUGUGGAGUGGCUGGAGAUGGAGGCUGCCCUGGCCCUGUGCCACAAGGCCUUCUGUGAAGCCUUUUCCUUCUGGGCUGUGUGACAAGCUGUUCAAAGGCAGCACCGUGCCUGGUGGGGAGCUGAGCGAAGGUCCUGCCCGUCCGGCACGGCACCUGGGACCUGGUGACUGGAAUUCACACCGAACCAGUCACAUAACUUGGUCUUACAGUUCUUAUCGCCUGAAAAUACCACAAAAUGAUACAGUGGUGAACAACAGCCUUUAGUGAAUUCUGAACUAUGCUAGAAUGUAAUGCUGGUGUCAUCACUUUGAGAUGAAUUCUUGGAAUGAAUAAAAGAUACCUAAUGGUAUAGUAGUAUCUGAUAAAUUCCAGUCUUUGUCUGUUAUAUCAUGUAACUCGGCUUUUGGGGCAUAUUUUAUGGUUUGUUACACACUAAUGUAAUCUACUUAAGUGUAUAAUUCUGUAAUAAUCUCAAAUUACUCUUUGGCUAAACAAGAGGGAAUCUAAUAAAACUAUAAAGAGUUUUGAUAUGAUUAAUAUUUA